rnacentral:lncRNA from 1 species
AAGUUAAGCUGGAACUUGCUUGGGCGGGACCCAAGCCUGUGUCCAGCUGGAUUGACUUCAAGUUAGACUUUGGAUUAGGCUUGAGGCUACUGGAGUCGGACUUGGAUCUACAAUAAGGAUCCAAAUAAAUUUUGGACCUAGCUCGGGUUGAAACCCUAGCCCGACUUCUAGCUCAAAAUGCUAGCUUGGAACCCGGCCUGA